AAAACUAACCCCGAACACCUAAACGCUCAUUGUAAGCACCCACUGAAUUGGCUCAAUGUCUGUUGUAGGCCGUAAUCAGUAAAACAGUACGUAAUGAAAAUAUUGUCUACGACUACUGCUACGGCCUACAACUCUCCAUUGUAGAUGGCCCUUUAAACGCUGUGUAAUUCUUGAUGCGUAAAGUUAACCGCGCGAGAGAGAGACAAAGCCAUUUUACUCCAUCUUUUUGUAUAGCACUUUCAGAACGCAACGGACGCAGGAUGGACCGGGACCGGAGCAAAUAUGGCAUCGCGAAUCUCUUAAUUGGUGAUAUAUAUCAAUCAUACGUAAUUGUAAUUCGUUUGAACGCGUAUCUGUCAAUAUACUUGUUCGAGCGAAGAUCGCGAUUCGUAGCGACAUGUCAAUCGUGAUACGCAAAGAUCGAGGCAGUUCUGACAUGGACCGGUGCCGGGAAGCAAAUGUCGCGCCAUAUCUAUCUACUUGAAUGCGACGAACGCAGAAUGAAUCGAUUCCGGGACGAAUGGCAUUGCAAAUUACUUAAUUGAUCGUGACAAUCGACAUGGAUCGGUUCCGGGGCGGAUGACAUCGCGAUAUUUAUUUGGUAAGUAGCAUUUACAUUGCAGUACUUAAUUCAAGAGAUUUCGGUACGAGGAGCAGCGAUAUUGAGGAAACUAA